GGUUAAGCUACAAAGAGCACACGGAGGAUGCCUAGGCGCCAGGAGCCGACGAAGGACGUGGCGAACAACGAUAAGGCCUCGGGGAGCUGUAAGCAAGCUUUGAUCCGGGGAUGUCCGAAUGGGGAAACCCGGCUGUCUUCAUCGACAGUCACUUUCUGCUGAAUACAUAGGCAGAAGAGAGGCACACCAGGGGAACUGAAACAUCUAAGUACCCUGAGGAAGAGAAAACAAUAGUGAUUCCGUCAGUAGCGGCGAGCGAACGCGGAUUAGCCCAAACCAAGGAGCUUGCUCCUUGGGGUUGUGGGACGUCUCACAUGGAGUUACAAAGGAACCGGUUAGAUGAAGAGGUCUGGAAAGGCCCGCCAGAGAAGGUAAAAGCCCUGUAGUUCAAAACUCGUUCCCUCCGAGACGGAUCCCGAGUAGUGCGGGGCACGUGAAACCCCGUAUGAAUCCGGCAGGACCAUCUGCCAAGGCUAAAUACUCCCUGGCGACCGAUAGUGAAGCAGUACCGUGAGGGAAAGGUGAAAAGCACCCCGGAAGGGGAGUGAAAUAGAUCCUGAAACCGUGUGCUUACAAGAAGUCAGAGCCCGAUCUAUGGGUGAUGGCGUGCCUUUUGUAGAAUGAACCGGCGAGUUACGUUCCCGUGCAAGGUUAAGGUGAAGAGCUGAAGCCGCAGCGAAAGCGAGUCUGAAUAGGGCGA
rnacentral:rRNA from 1 species